GUGCUCACUUCAGUAGCACAUAUACUAAAUUUAUAACUAUACAGAGAAGAUUAGCAUGGCUCCUGUGCAAGGAUUACAUGAAAUUCGUUAAGUAUUUCAUAUUUUU